ACAGUAGGGAGGGUGGGUGUAUCAACAGAGUAGUAAACAAUGAAAGAAGUGCUGAAAGCACAGAGGAAGGGGGAAAGAGAGACUCAGAAGAGGCCAGGAGAAGGGCACCCAGAAAGGUGGUGGUCUCCAGGAAAGCCCAGCCAUUUGAACUGGAACCAUAAGAAGCCAGCUGCUUUAAAAUCCACUGACUGAACUAAGGGACGUGGCAUCAUGGAAGGUGAAGGUACCAAGGAGCAGCAGGAGAUGCAGCAGAUCAACGGGGUGGAGCAGAAGGGAGAAUCAGGAGAUGCUCAGAUCAUAUCUAAAGGAGAGAGCAAAGCAGGAAAAACAGAGGGUGUUGGGAAUGAAGAGUCUGGAGAGAACAAGACAGGGAAAGCACAGCCUACUGGGAAAGAAGCUGUUUUGGAGAAUGAGACAGGGAAAGAUGAUGCUGGGAAGAGUGAAACAGAGAAAACAGAGGAUACUGGGAAAGAAGAUGCUGGAGAGAAUCAAGCAGAUAAAGGAGAGAAUUCUGGGAAAGAGGACAAGCAGGUCAAUGAGAUCCCUAAAAAGGCUUUGGGCAAUGAGGAAAGACAGGGAUCUGAGACUAUCAAAGAAGUGAAGGAAAGCCAUCAAGCACAGGCUGAGGCUACAGUGGCUCUGGGUGAAUCUGGUACAGAGCCCAAGGAAGAAGCUGAUGUUUCUGGCACAGCAGAAGAACCCCAGGAAGGAAAAGGAGAAAAAGAUGGUGCUGUGGAGAAAAAUGCCAGCAUUUCCAAGAAAGAGAGCCGAACUGGCAGCACUUCUGAUGAGCCUCUUUCACCAGGACCAGAAGAGGAAGAGGAAGAAUACUGGCCAGAAUUCUCUCCCAGUUCUCCUGAUGAGAGCCCACAAAGCCCCACGGAGCUCAAAAGCAUGGAAACGGGCAGUACCACCUCAGGCCCAAGCACUCCAGAGGCUGCUACAGGGGACAUUACCAGCACUGAAGCAGCUCCUGAAGGAACUCAAGAACAGCAGCAACAAACUUCACCUGAGCCAACAGCCGCCUCCAAGGAGAAAAAGAAAAGACCGGCAUUAGACAGGAGGGAAAUAACAAGACCUCGGAUGCCUCCCAGAGUUCAGUCCCGCAAAGCCAUUAUGGACAAGUUUGGAGGGGCUGCAACUGGGCCUGCCCCUAACAUAAAAAAGACAGGAGGGGCAAACACUAUAAAGACUAUGUUGCUGGAAUGGUGUCGGGCCAAGACCCGUGGCUAUGAGCAUGUGGACAUCCAGAACUUCUCUUCCAGUUGGAGUAGUGCCAUGGCAUUUUGUGCCCUCAUCCACAGUUACUUCCCAGAUGCCUUUGACUAUUCUACUCUUGACCCAGCAAACCGUAGAGAGAAUUUUACCUUGGCUUUUUCCACUGCUGAGAAACUGGCUGACUGUGCCCAACUUCUGGAGGUGGAUGAUAUGGUGCGCAUGAGUGUUCCUGAUAACAAAUGCAUAUACACUUACAUCCAGGAACUGUACCGCAGCCUGGUGCAGAAAGGGCUGGUCAAGACCAAGAAGAAAUGAGGAUGGAGCACAGACUCAUGCUUAACGCUAAUUGGAAACAUGAGGGAAGCUGGGUGGGACAGGGAGAAUCAACAGUAAUGUACCUUACGUAGAGGGUCUCUAGUUUCCUCAACAUAGCUCUAAACGUCUGCUAUUCACAGACAUCUGGCUUUUGGGAUGUCCAGAAAAGGAAUGGAUACCUUUCAUGUAGAUGCUAACUAUCAUCUUCAGCAAUCCAGCCUCCAGGGAAGCAGAUGGACAGUGUCUGUUCUUAACAGGCAUAACUUGGAACAAGUUGCAUUGACCUCCAAUUCCACAUCUUGCUCCCUUGGCAAAUCUUUCUCCAGCCCAUGAUGCUAUCACAUGUCUCCAUGCAGAUCACCAAAUCCAUUAAAACGAAACUGUAGCAAGUCAAGGAAAUUCACCUGCAUUUCAUUUGAGCAAACUACAAUUCAAAUCCCUUUCAUCAAAAUAUGAAGGCUACCUGGGAGACAGCAAAAACAACUCUCCCUGAAGGUAAAAUACAGAUAACCCAGAACUUAGUCUAAUUCUCUGUAUGUUUACCAAGAAGUAAGUCUUACAAUAUUAAGUUAUGUCCAAGCUUUGAGGCAACGCAGUUAGGAUCAGACUGCUUGGAAUAAUCAUUAAGCAAGGAACAAAUAAGAUACCGAAAGAGAUUGUGAAAUUCCCCUAUCCUUGCCAGUUUAAAACUUUGCAUGAAAUGGUAAACUUCUAUAUGUAAUGCUUUAGGCUAUCAUCCCACACCUAGGCAGUAGACGUGAUGUGACAAUUCAUUUUGUCUUCUAUGACUCCACGAUCCUAUAGCAAACAAAGAAGUGAUGAAAACCUUCAUAAUACUGUAUCACAAAGAUAUUUAGGAUGAGACAAAAUACUCCUUAUCUUUACUCCUUCACACAUACACUGCCUGUGUUUUUAAAAAAUUGCAUUAAAUUAGAAACCUGAACCAAUAAGGAAUGAAAACUUCCCCCUUUGUCCUAAACAGAGAGCUUUAGAAACUCAUGCUACAAAUCGCAAGAUUCCUCACGAUUCAGUCAUGCUACAAUUCUGUGAUGUAAAAUAUGUUGAUAUGUUAUGUUUGACCUUUAAGUCUGGGCAGUCUAGCUAAAUGUUGGGACUAGAAGAGUUUUAAUCCUAUCUGGAGAGCCACAGUUGCCUACGCUGUUUCAGAGAAUUCUCACACAGAAGACAGAUCCCAAGCUAAGCUAUAAUGAUUCAUAGUUUACAUACAUAGGCCUGGUUUAUUUAACAAAACUUAAGAACAGUUCUUGACCUUCCUAUAUAUUUCACAGAUUGUCUGGAAAACAAUCUUAAAUAUGUAUCCACUCUGAACAACUUCGGGUAAGAAAACCCUAUGAGGGUUCACAUUAGGGUCACCAUAAGUCCAAAAUGACUUAAAAUACACAACUACAACAACAAAUUCAAUUACAUAAAAUAUGAGGAAUAUAAUUCCAUUUCAUUAACAUGGCCAGGCAACUUGAACAGCGAGAGCUGCAAUGAUGUUAGCUAUAAAGAACAUGCAGAUAUUUAAUAGAAGAAAAGUAUUUUUAUUUUUAAAAAUAUUAAGUACUUCAUAUAUACAUAUGCAACAGAAAGACAUAUUCAUGUGUUACUCUAAUAGUCAUGUAUAUGUGUAGAAAUCUUAGUCAAAAAAAUCAACCCCAAAAAUGGGGCCAAUUUGUUCAUAGAUCAAUGUGAGCACUGUACCUUGAUUCUUAGCAAAAAAGGAGGAGCUUCAUUAAUUCUGCAAACAUUUAAAAGAAGCAUCAAUACCCUCUAUCUAAUGUGGCAUUGCUUUUGGCAUUUCUCAAUGCCUGAACAGGGAAAUGGCAGCAAUGGCUAAUGUAGCUGGUCCCUGAGAUGGCACUGGUGCUUUCCCUUCUCCAAGGACUGUCCCCCAAUUUAUCCAUAGGUCAUAUCAAAAUCCAUAAUUUUGGCCCCAAAACCUGUCCUCGAGUUUGACUUAUGUGUAUACAUGGUACUUUCAACAAAAGACCACAAUCCUAUGAACAAACUGUAAAUCCAUUUACUGGAAAAUAAAUGACAAGAUGUUACUGUAA